UAAAGCGGUAAAUAACACGUGUACUUAGCGUCAAGAACUAUAUAAUGUAUGUAAGGAGAAGAUGAACUUCAUAAAUUAUAAAGUGAAAAAAUAAUAUUCUAUUUCUAACACACAAAGGGGAUAAAAUAUGGCUGAAGCUAUCAAGAUUGUUUAUGUUAUUAUAUUUUUUUCCCUCUUUCUUGUUGCAAAGGGGAAAAUUUAUAAAUCUAUGUUUAAGUGUAGUGACGUUUCUGAUUGUCCAAAUGAUGAAAAAUAUACGUACGGAGGUGUUUUGAAAGUGAAGUGUUAUGCGUUUAACUCUUUGUUUUUUCCUGAUCCCGUCUGUAUAUAUAUUGGUCCUUGAUCCCAUAAAGGAUUUCUAAAGGAUUUCUCCUAUUUAUAUUGGACCUAUAUUUUUACUCAUAUAUUAAUAAGGUUGUUUGUUUUUUAAUAAUCUACGAGAUCAAUAUUUAUACCGAUAUAUUAAUACGAGGAGCUAAUUUUUUUUGUGA